GACGAACGCUGGCGGCGUGCUUAACACAUGCAAGUCGAACGAGGUUAUGGAGGAGCUUGCUCCGAAGUAACCGAGUGGCGGACGGGUGAGUAACGCGUGAGGAACCUGUCUCACACAGGGGGAUAACGCACCGAAAGGUGUGCUAAUACCGCAUAAGACCACGGUACCGCAUGGUACAGGGGUCAAAGGAGCAAUCCGGUGUGAGGUGGCCUCGCGUCUGAUUAGGUAGUUGGUGAGGUAACGGCCCACCAAGCCGACGAUCAGUAGCCGACCUGAGAGGGUGAUCGGCCACAUUGGAACUGAGACACGGUCCAAACUCCUACGGGAGGCAGCAGUGGGGAAUAUUGGGCAAUGGGGGAAACCCCGACCAGCAACGCCGCGUGAAGGAAGAAGGCCUUCGGGUUGUAACUCUUUACCAGGACGAAUAAAUGACGGUACCUGGAGAAAAGCAACGGCUAACUACGUG
rnacentral:rRNA from 1 species